rnacentral:rRNA from 1 species
AUUGAACGCUGGCGGCAGGCCUAACACAUGCAAGUCGAGCGAGCGGGGGACGGGUGAGUAAUGUAUGGGGAUCUGCCCGAUAGAGGGGGAUAACUACUGGAAACGGUGGCUAAUAACGCAUACUGUCGGAUGAACCCAUAUGGGAUUAGCUAGUAGGUAAGGUAAUGGCUUACCUAGGCGACGAUCCCUAGCUGGUCUGAGAGGAUGAUCAGCCACACUGGGACUGAGACACGGCCCAGACUCCUACGGGAGGCAGCAGUGGGGAAUAUUGGACAAUGGGGGGAACCCUGAUCCAGCCAUGCCGCGUGUGUGAAGAAGGCCUUAUGGUUGUAAAGCACUUUAAGCGAGGAGGCGUUACUCGCAGAAUAAGCACCGGCUAACUCUGUGCCAGCAGCCGCGGUAAUAC